AGCCCUUUAGCUAACUGGCGAUAGCUGAGUCCUCAUAAGACUUAGGGGAGGGAUCGUAACCCUCAAGGGCUACCA
rnacentral:tRNA from 1 species